GGUUGUGGCUCAGUGGUAGAGCGCUUGCCUGGCAUGUGUGAGCCACUGGGUUAGAUUCUCAUCACCA
rnacentral:tRNA from 1 species